rnacentral:sRNA from 1 species
AUAUUGAGAAGAGUACUGCAUUUCUGUUUUCACCACAAAACUAUGUGCGAUUAAAACGAUGUGCUAGCUGGAGUUCAAUGUUUUAAUUCACAAUUUACGAGACUCCUUUACUGCUUUCUGUUCUGCAUUCUCUGUUGCUUCUCGUUAAUAAUUCUUCUGAGAUCAUGCCUACACUUGCACAACCACACCAAAAGAGGAGUACUAUAUGAAAAAACCUGUGCUAUUAUUGCCUACAUGCAUGGGACAAAACUAUAUUUAAUGUAAUUUGAUAUUCUUGGAAUAAGUUGAUGUUGUUGUAUGGGCAAUAGCGAUUUCAAUGAUGUCAAUAUGGUUUGUUUAAUAAUUCCUAUAUUAUAU